AAGACUUGGCGAAGCGCUGCGCUCGCGCCUGGAUCCCUCAGGCAGCUGCAGGCUUCAGCCUGCGCUGGUCGGUGAAACAGAGAUGUCAGAAAAGGAGAACAACUUCCCGCCACUGCCCAAGUUUAUCCCUGUGAAGCCCUGCUUCUACCAGAACUUCUCCGACGAGAUCCCGGUGGAGCACCAGGUCCUGGUGAAGAGGAUCUACCGGCUGUGGAUGUUUUACUGCGCCACCCUCGGCGUCAACCUCAUCGCCUGCCUGGCCUGGUGGAUUGGCGGAGGCUCGGGGACCAACUUCGGCCUGGCCUUCGUGUGGCUGCUCCUGUUCACGCCUUGCAGCUACGUGUGCUGGUUCCGGCCUGUCUACAAGGCCUUCCGAGCCGACAGCUCCUUUAAUUUCAUGGCGUUUUUCUUCAUCUUCGGAGCCCAGUUUGUCCUGACCGUCAUCCAGGCGAUUGGCUUCUCCGGCUGGGGCGCGUGAGGCUGUGGCUGCAGGUCAAGGCACUGCUCGUCAUCCUCGGAGUCCUCCUGAGCCCCCAGCUGCUGGCUCGGCUCCCACUAGUCCUUCCCUGGGCU
rnacentral:sRNA from 1 species